AUUGAACGCUGGCGGCAUGCUUUACACAUGCAAGUCGAACGGUAACAGGCCGCAAGGUGCUGACGAGUGGCGAACGGGUGAGUAAUGCAUCGGAACGUGCCCAGUCGUGGGGGAUAACGCAGCGAAGGCUGCGCUAAUACCGCAUACGAUCUAUGGAUGAAAGCGGGGGACCGUAAGGCCUCGCGCGAUUGGAGCGGCCGAUGUCAGAUUAGGGAGUUGGUGGGGUAAAGGCUCACCAAGCCGACGAGCUGUAGCUGGUCUGAGAGGACGACCAGCCACACUGGGACUGAGAAACGGCCCAGACUCCUACGGGAGGCAGCAGUGGGGAAUUUUGGACAAUGGGCGCAAGCCUGAUCCAGCAAUGCCGCGUGCAGGAAGAAGGCCUUCGGGUUGUAAACUGCUUUUGUACGGAACGAAACGGCUCUGGUUAAUACCUGGGGCUAAUGACGGUACCGUAAGAAUAAGCACCGGCUAACUACGUGCCAGCCGCCGCCGUAAGAC
rnacentral:rRNA from 1 species